rnacentral:rRNA from 1 species
GUUAUAGGGUCAAGCGAAUAAGUGCAUGUGGUGGAUGCCUUGGCGAUCACAGGCGAUGAAGGACGUAGUAGCUUGCGAAAAGCUGCGGGGAGCUGGCAAACGAGCUUUGAUCCGCAGAUGUCCGAAUGGGGAAACCCGGCCCGUAUGGGUCAUCCCUUGCUGAAUACAUAGGCAAGGGAGGCGAACGCAGUGAACUGAAACAUCUAAGUAGCUGCAGGAAAAGAAAUCAACCGAGAUUCCCAAAGUAGUGGCGAGCGAAAUGGGAACAGCCUUGUACUCUUUAGCAGUAUUGUUAGCGGAACGGAAUGGAAAGUCCGGCCAUAGUGGGUGAUAGCCCCGUACGCGAAAACAGUAUUGUGGAACUAGGUGUACGACAAGUAGGGCGGGACACGUGAAAUCCUGUCUGAAGAUGGGGGGGACCAUCCUCCAAGGCUAAAUACUCGUGAUCGACCGAUAGUGAACCAGUACCGUGAGGGAAAGGCGAAAAGAACCCCGGGAGGGGAGUGAAAUAGAUCCUGAAACCGCAUGCAUACAAACAGUCGGAGCCUGGAAACGGGUGACGGCGUACCUUUUGUAUAAUGGGUCAGCGACUUACAUUCAGUGGCAAGCUUAACCGAUUAGGGAAGGCGUAGCGAAAGCGAGUCCGAAUAGGGCGUUCAGUCGCUGGGUGUAGACCCGAAACCAAGUGAUCUAUCCAUGGCCAGGUUGAAGGUGCGGUAACACGUACUGGAGGACCGAACCCACUAACGUUGAAAAGUUAGGGGAUGAGCUGUGGAUAGGGGUGAAAGGCUAAACAAACUUGGAAAUAGCUGGUUCUCUCCGAAAACUAUUUAGGUAGUGCCUCGUGUCUCACCUUCGGGGGUAGAGCACUGUCAUGGUUGGGGGGUCUAUUGCUGAUUACCCCGCCAUAGCAAACUCCGAAUACCGAAGAGUGCAAUCACGGGAGACAGACAUCGGGUGCUAACGUCCGGUGUCAAGAGGGAAACAACCCAGACCGCCAGCUAAGGUCCCUAAGAUUGGCUAAGUGGGAAACGAAGUGGGAAGGCUAAAACAGUCAGGAGGUUGGCUUAGAAGCAGCCACCCUUUAAAGAAAGCGUAAUAGCUCACUGAUCGAGUCGUCCUGCGCGGAAGAUGUAACGGGGCUAAGCCAGUCACCGAAGCUGCGGAUGCACGUAAGUGCAUGGUAGGAGAGCGUUCUGUAAGCCUGUGAAGGUGUCUUGUAAAGGAUGCUGGAGGUAUCAGAAGUGCGAAUGCUGACAUGAGUAGCGAUAAAGGGGGUGAAAGGCCCCCUCGCCGUAAGCCCAAGGUUUCCUACGCAACGUUCAUCGGCGUAGGGUGAGUCGGCCCCUAAGGCGAGGCAGAGAUGCGUAGCUGAUGGGAAGCAGGUUAAUAUUCCUGCACCGUCGUAUGAUGCGAUGGGGGGACGGAUCGCGGAAGGUUGUCCGGGUGUUGGAAGUCCCGGUCCCUACAUUGGAGAUGGCACUUAGGCAAAUCCGGGUGCGUGAUUCAAGGGUGUGGGGCGAGCGACGUUAGGUCGCGAAGCAAUUGGAAGUGGUUCCAAGAAAAGCCUCUAAGCUUCAGUCAUACGAGACCGUACCGCAAACCGACACAGGUGGGCGAGAUGAGUAUUCUAAGGCGCUUGAGAGAACUCGGGAGAAGGAACUCGGCAAAUUGGUACCGUAACUUCGGGAUAAGGUACGCCCUUGUAGUUUGACUGGCUCGCGCCAGAAGGAUGAAGGGGUUGCAAUAAAAUGGUGGCUGCGACUGUUUAAUAAAAACACAGCACUCUGCAAACACGAAAGUGGACGUAUAGGGUGUGACGCCUGCCCGGUGCCGGAAGAUUAAAUGAUGGGGUGCAAGCUCUUGAUUGAAGUCCCGGUAAACGGCGGCCGUAACUAUAACGGUCCUAAGGUAGCGAAAUUCCUUGUCGGGUAAGUUCCGACCUGCACGAAUGGCGUAACGAUGGCCACACUGUCUCCUCCCGAGACUCAGCGAAGUUGAAGUGUUUGUGAUGAUGCAAUCUCCCCGCGGCUAGACGGAAAGACCCCAUGAACCUUUACUGUAGCUUUGCAUUGGACUUUGAACCGAUCUGUGUAGGAUAGGUGGGAGGCUUUGAAACCGGGACGCUAGUUUCGGUGGAGCCGACCUUGAAAUACCACCCUGGUUUGUUUGAGGUUCUAACCUUGGCCCGUGAAUCCGGGUCGGGGACAGUGCAUGGUAGGCAGUUUGACUGGGGCGGUCUCCUCCCAAAGUGUAACGGAGGAGUUCGAAGGUACGCUUGGUACGGUCGGACAUCGUACCUAAAGUGCAAUGGCAAAAGCGUGCUUAACUGCGAGACCGACAAGUCGAGCAGGUGCGAAAGCAGGACAUAGUGAUCCGGUGGUUCUGUAUGGAAGGGCCAUCGCUCAACGGAUAAAAGGUACUCUGGGGAUAACAGGCUGAUACCGCCCAAGAGUUCAUAUCGACGGCGGUGUUUGGCACCUCGAUGUCGGCUCAUCUCAUCCUGGGGCUGUAGCCGGUCCCAAGGGUAUGGCUGUUCGCCAUUUAAAGAGGUACGUGAGCUGGGUUUAAAACGUCGUGAGACAGUUUGGUCCCUAUCUGCCGUGGGCGUUGGAAUCUUGACGGGGGCUGCUCCUAGUACGAGAGGACCGGAGUGGACGUACCGCUGGUGUACCUGUUGUCUCGCCAGAGGCAUCGCAGGGUAGCUAUGUACGGAAGAGAUAACCGCUGAAAGCAUCUAAGCGGGAAACUCGCCUGAAGAUGAGGAUUCCCUGGAGACUUGAUCUCCCUGAAGGGUCGUUCGAGACCAGGACGUUGAUAGGCUGGGUGUGGAAGCGCAGUAAUGCGUUCAGCUAACCAGUACUAAUUGCCCGUGCGGCUUGAUCCUAUAACC